rnacentral:rRNA from 1 species
AUUGAACGCUGGCGGCAGGCCUAACACAUGCAGGUCGGACGGUAGCACAGAGAGCUUGCUCUCGGGUGACGAGUGGCGGACGGGUGAGUAAUGUCUGGGGAUCUGCCCGAUAGAGGGGGAUAACCACUGGAAACGGUGGCUAAUACCGCAUAACGUCGCAAGACCAAAGAGGGGGACCUUCGGGCCUCUCACUAUCGGAUGAACCCAGAUGGGAUUAGCUAGUAGGCGGGGUAACGGCCCACCUAGGCGACGAUCCCUAGCUGGUCUGAGAGGAGGACCAGCCACACGGGAACUGAGACACGGUCCAGACUCCUACGGGAGGCAGCAGUGGGGAAUAUUGCACAAUGGGCGCAAGCCUGAUGCAGCCAUGCCGCGUGUAUGAAGAAGGCCUUCGGGUUGUAAAGUACUUUCAGCGGGGAGGAAGGCGAUGUGGUUAAUAACCGCAUUGAUUGACGUUACCCGCAGAAGAAGCACCGGCUAACUCCGUGCCAGCCGCCGCGGUAA